UUGUUCCCGGUGUCUCUCUUCGUCUGUCUUCUCCCGUUCUCCGUCUUUUGCGACUCGUUCUUGUUUCGUUUUCUUCUUUUCAAAUAAAUCUUGUGAUUUUCGCUUCUUCUCGCAUGUUUCGUCGAGGCUGCGAACUGGUGCUACUUCAAUAUCCAAAGAGGGCAAAGUGUCUAAUGUUCAUUUUUUAGUCCCGCAUCGUCAGUUACACAUAGAUUUUGAUACACUUAGAGAUUUGUCGCGAAGCUUGAGUCGUCUCUUCGGAGACAUCCGAUAAAAUUGGAACGAUACAGAGAAGAUUAGCAUGGCCCCUGCGCAAGGAUGACACGCAUAAAUCGAGAAAUGGUCCAAAUUUUUUUCUUCAAAUGGAGCAGCAAAGUCUAAUUGGAAUAUGGAAGGAGUGGAUUGUGUGCUUAAGGAUCAUAUUACUUUUCUCAAAUCUGGAGCAUGUAACAGUUCAAAAACAAUUAUUUGUUGACGUUCAGUAGCAAUCUUAUUGGAUGCUUUGCAUGGCCAUGGGAAUGAGACAACUUUGAAGUACACAACCUGUGACCUGGAUACAUAGAACACUAUUGAGGCGGUUCUGGAAUGGGCGCACAUGUCGGUAUGUGAUCGAGCAUGCAGUCAAGAUGAGCUAAACCACCAGUUUAGCUGUUUAGGUCACAAUUGUUUGUUAUGACUCUAUCGCCAAAAGUAUCUCAGUUUUCAUGGUCUAACUAUACAGUUGGAAAGGCUUAUAGUCAUGAAUUGUACAUUACUAUAAGUUAAUAUAAUUUACACCGAUAGCAUCGCA